rnacentral:lncRNA from 1 species
GAUGGCUCUCAGACCCGGUCCCCGCCAUGCUCCCCUCCCCCAUCUCCUGCCUGGCCCUGCCUAGCUGGAUCCCAAGAAAUGAGAGGAAUGGGACCUGCCUCCUCCCAAUUAUCUUCGGAAGAUCUUUUCGGAUACUAUAUUCACCUUUCCCGGGUCUCAUCAGCAAGGGGAACCAGGUGCAUGCGGGAAGAGUCUAGCAUUUCCUUCAAAAGGCGUUGGCAGCAUGGCUCGGGGCCGUGGAGGUGGGCGAGGCCCAUCUGCCUUCUCACUUUCUUCAGGCUUUGCUGGUGAAAGCGGACACUUUGAUCUCAUCAAAUUUCCAAGGGAAAGAAGAAAAGGAGCUCUUUGCUGGUUUCAGGGAAGACAAGGACAAUCGUGUAUGAUGGGAAGGAAGGCCAGUGAAGAUCCAAGAAGAUCCCACUUUGGACAUAACCAGCAUAGAAAAAGCCUGUCUUGGGUUUGGGCAGAUUUAAACAUCUGUGGGGAAGAUGGGAGACCACCAGAAAAAUGGCCAGGAGCUGCUCCGAAAUCUUGCUUUGCAAUCAGUCUGGUGCACCAAGAAACCUCUCCGUUCUGAUCCUUCUCAAGGUGCUGGGUCCUGAAGGGAGCCCAGGAGCCUGCUUCCUGCUUUGGGGGUAGUGCCCUUCCUGGGUAAACAGUCCUCUGGGAAGAAAUCUCGCCAACAGGUUCAGGUCAGAAAAAGAAACUCAGAGCGGCAAAACUGAUUGCCUCCCUGCCCGGUGACUCGGUGGACGCCAACAUGGGCGGAUGCAGGGCAGUGACAGCGCGAUCCCAACGUGGGCGGGAGGUUCUACUAACAUUCCAUGAUCCAUACUGGCCAUUGGCUGGAGCUGCAGGGCAGUGGCCCUGGGAUUCCCGCCUCAAGGCCCCAUUAGCCCAUCACUGGAUACUCUAGGGAGAUCCAGGCUUGCAUAAGGCUAUAAACUGAAUUACUUUCUCUCUGGAACAAUCAACCAUGAAGCCCAGGAUGGCUUCCUGGUGGAGAGAAGGACUGACUGGGAAAAGAUGCCAGAAUUCUGCAGUGUUUCCUAUACUUUGUCGCUGCUUACCUUCUCAGCUGCCCUAAAUAAAG